rnacentral:rRNA from 1 species
UAAGUAAGACGUGAAAUCGUACGGCUCAACCGUAUACACAUGUUUUAAACUGGUGAACUAGAGGAUGAGAGAGGUUAUUGGAAUUUCUAGUGUAGGAGUGAAAUCCGUAGAUAUUAGAAGAAACACCGAUGGCGUAGGCAGAUAACUGGCUCAUUUCUGACACUUAGGCACGAAAGCGUGGGGAGCGAACGGGAUUAGAUACCCCGGUAGUCCACGCCGUAAACUAUGGAUGCUA